ensembl:snRNA U5 U5 spliceosomal RNA
AUACUCUGGUUUCUCUUCAGAUCAUAUAAAUAUUUCGCCUUUCACUAAAAAUUUCCAUGGAGAGGAACAAUUUUGAGUUUUUGACCAAUUUUUUGAGGCCUUGCAUUUGCAGGGCU